rnacentral:rRNA from 1 species
AGGAUGAACGCUGGCGGUCUGCUUAACACAUGCAAGUCGAACGGAGUACCUCGGUACUUAGUGGCGGACGGGUGAGUAACGCGUGAGAAUCUGCCCUUAGGUCGGGGACAACCAUUGGAAACGAUGGCUAAUACCGGAUAAGCCGAGAGGUAAAAGAUUAAUUGCCUAGGGAAGAGCUCGCGUCUGAUUAGCUAGUUGGUGAGGUAAAGGCUCACCAAGGCAUCGAUCAGUAGCUGGUCUGAGAGGAUGAUCAGCCACACUGGGACUGAGACACGGCCCAGACUCCUACGGGAGGCAGCAGUGGGGAAUUUUCCGCAAUGGGCGAAAGCCUGACGGAGCAAGACCGCGUGAGGGAGGAAGGCUCUUGGGUUGUAAACCUCUUUCUUGGGAAGAACAAAUGACGGUACCCAAGGAAUCAGCAUCGGCUAACUCCGUGCCAGCAGCCGC